GCCGAUCUCUUCAAGUUUUAAUAUCUGGUCAAUUUGACCGUCGUGGGCGUAUCAUCUUUGUUUGCAGUACAGUACGUCAGCGUAAACGAUCGGAUCAUCCAGCGGCGUCUCUCGGAUUGCAGAAUGGAUACAUCACCCAGAAGGCCGUCAUGGAGUAUUUCGUCUUGUUGGUGAGCAUGUAAUUAAAAUUAAAUUUUGUGACCUUAUUUGCAGGACAGCACGGAAGCGUCGUGUAUUGAACAUCUGGUGGCGUUUCCCAGACGCCACGCAACUUGGCAACUUGCAGAUCAGCAGUCUUUGCCAGUCAUAGCAGCGCUUUUAAUCGACUUUUAAGGAGUUUGAUGGCCUGAAGCCGGACGCAGUACAGGAUAUUAUUUUAUUUUUAUUUUUUUUUUUUUUGUUUUUUUAGGUGGACGAUGCUAUGGCUGCAAGUCUCUCCGAGUUUAGUAUUGGCCCAGUAGGUCAUCUUGGGAGUUUGCGUUUCCCAUGUCUUCAUCCAGAACGCGUUGUUGAAGUUGUGGCUGCUGUCGAUGUGACAGUGAUUGCAAGUUUGCUGGCUCCUCAGUUGAUGUCGUUAGCGGCUGUUGUGGCUACGUUGAUAGAGCCUGUGGAGCUUGUAUUGGCAGAGCCUUGUUGGAUUAAUCGCUGGAUCGUUGGGGGCUGGCCCUGGAUGCGGACCACUAGCUCUUCGCGAGUGAUUUGUCCGCUUCUAUACAUUCUUCUAUACGAAUUUAUACUUGAUUCUCCGAAUCUUCUAGGAGGCGGCCAAUUUGAUUGCUGGAUCUUUUGCCUGGCCUGGAUUUCGGCCAGUCUCUCAUUUUCUCGCCUCUCCAGCUCUUCUUCUUGAAUCCGGAGGAGUGUUGGAAUUUGCUCCCUGUCUUGCAUCAUUUGUUGUGCCUGUUGUGUUUGCCGAGCGGUGUGUUGUAUGUGAGAUGGCUGUCCUUGGCGCUGUUGAGGCCCAUGUUGUUGCUGCAGCGAUCGUAUGUGUUGUUGUAUUUGCUGCGUGUAGGGGGACCCUCUGUAAGCGCUGCGGCUCAAAUGCACCCAUUUGCAUAGCAGAUUUCGUGCCUCAGAAUUUGCGUGUCUGGUCAAGGAGCUUGCUUGAGAGAGGUAUGUUUGGUUCCCUCCAACAGCUGUCGUUGUCAGCGCAGCGGCACACAUGAUCACUGUAUCGUUGGCGUAUAUUGAUAAUAGCAUGUGGCUUUUUUGGGCUCCAUAAUAUGUGCUUCUCAUGAGUGAGGGAAGGGGCAUAUCCGAGGAGUAUAAUGUAUACAAUAUCGGGCCCAGUUGUUACGGAACUGCUUGUUUCUCAUUGGGCCGCGCCGGCGGGCUCAUCGGAUUCUCCGGGUGUAGUUCCAUCCCUGGCGCGCAGUCAACAACAAAGCUACACUUCUGUACCAAAACAGACUCACACAACACUAUUCAAAAAUAAACCACAUAAUCGAUAACCAAUAUUCGGAUCUGCUAACUCAUGAACAAAAUAAACAGCUGUAACAACUAUGAAAAUGUAAACAACAAAGGUGAGACACUCAAUAUAAAUUAACAAAAAAACAAAAUGGCCUACAUUAGCCCGUGCCAACCCUCAUGCCCACUCUCCCCAACAAUUUACUUUAGCCGGACAUGCUUUCGUUCAGUAUGUGCGUAUAAUUGGUUGCGUCUUCUUAAAAUUUAUAACAUUAUAAUCGUCGCUUAUGGCUUUUAUCUUUGCAGCUAUUUAGAAUCUCAUGCAAGUGGACAUUUCGUUAACUUCACAGGUGCGUAUAAUGGUUUAUGUAUUCUUAUAAUUAUUGGCAUUAAUAUUUCUUUUAUUUCUUUCUAAUUUGCACGAGGUCUCCAUUCAGAUAAAUAAGAAUUCAUGCACGUGCUAUUAAUAUUGCUAAUCGUUGCGACGAUUUAGGAACAAUAAAAACAAUAAAAACGAUAAUCAGUCGUGCAACAGGUAGGUGAUAUAGAUCUGUAUUAAAUCGCUCAAUUCUACCUUACCCUACCUAAAGAGCUCUCAGGGGUGAUAAGGGGCGAUUUAAAUGGAUAAUUCCAAUUAGGCGCAGAUGGAUCACCUUUGGAGUUUCCCUCACCGUUCGCACUCUAAAGUGAAGCUCGGCGUAAGUGCCUAUGGUGUACGAUCAGGAGUCUUCAUCAAUUCUCUGCCAAGGGCCCGAACGAGGAUGGGCAAAAAGGAAACGGACUCACUCGGGGGAUGUGGGUGUGGUGUCGCCUGUGGCCGCUUCUUCGUUGUUGUCGCCCGGUCGUUGGUGGCUCGUCUCGUCGCUUUCAGGGUUGCGCCGACGCUUGGCUGGUGGCGUCGCGCAUAUGGCUGGUGUGCGCCGCUGAGCCGAAUACUGGGCUUUGGUAUGUUUCGUGGGCCUCUCUGCUGCGAGACUGGUCCCUUUGUGGCCGGAGCCGUUAAUUUUUAUUUUUUUAUUGGUUCGUCUCUCGUCGCACUUAAGUUUCAAGUUUUAUUUUAUAUAUAUAUAUUUUUUAUAUAUAUUUUGGGACUUGAGCGGUUUAAUUUACAUAUACCUAUUAAAUUGCAGAAAAAACAAAACCAAAAUUUUCAUUUGUCUGUUAAGUUAUUUGUUAUUACGCGCUGGCUUAACUUGCCAGAUGAAAAUAAAUUCGAAUCUUUUGAGCCGAUAUGCAAUAUACAAAUUUCAUGCUCACUUCGAGCUGGCACGCCCGCCGUUAAC